CGGAGGAAAUGCGCUGGGCCGG
rnacentral:misc_RNA from 1 species